rnacentral:lncRNA from 1 species
UUGAACAAAAGUCACAGAUUCUAAGAUGAACACACAGCCAUUUUUUAAGACCCUUCAUCUUCCUUAAGCUAAAAAAAACCUAGAAUCCUAGCAUGAGCUUCAACGUCUUUCUGAAAAAUACACAAGAUCCUUCAGCCUUUUCUCCUUCUUUUGAACCUAGACAUGAACAUCAGCUUCAAACAGUUGCACCCUUAAAGAGAAAGACCUCCAUCGUCACCUUCAUUUAAGCCGAAGAGAGCCAGUCGGGCAACCCCAUCUCCAAGGCGCUGCUAUUUCUGUCCAAACGACCUAAACCUCAAUGGAGAACAGCAACCAACGAUCUGCUUCUUCACCACCCAUAAUCUUCGACUCCCUCCCAUCCACCACAACAAACAGAAGAAACUUCUCUGUUUAACUAGUAGAUCUCAGCCAUCAAACUAGACAUUUGAGGUUUCGUCUGUCGCUCCAAUUUGGUUCGUGGUUUUUGCUCGAUGUUUAUGGUUGCCCUUAAUCGAGUGGUAGAGCAAGCUUUAAAUCCGUCCAGUCGGCUAUCAACUUUGUUUUGGUGUUGUAAUCGAAGAUUUAUUUUGAAAUAAAGUUCAGAGGUUUCUCCGAUUUGAGGGCCGCUCUUCCUUUCAUUUAAUAUUAUUUCAGUCCAUUUCUCUUGUCCAAAUAAUUUAGAUUUGGUGAAUAAUUUGUGUUUGUAAUCUUAUGCAUGAUAGUCUAAAUAUGUGUAUUUGGAUGAAAUACUUGGUGCUUUGAGCAGUUAUUGCUAUUUGUCAAUUUCGGACUGAAUAUAGUACUACUGCUUUACUUUG